rnacentral:rRNA from 1 species
AGCGAACGCUGGCGGUAGGCCUAACACAUGCAAGUCGAACGGCAGCACAGUAUGCGCUUGCUCUUACGGGUGGCGAGUGGCGGACGGGUGAGGAAUACAUCGGAAUCUACUUUUUCGUGGGGGAUAACGUAGGGAAACUUACGCUAAUACCGCAUACGACCUACGGGUGAAAGCAGGGGAUCUUCGGACCUUGCGCGAUUGAAUGAGCCGACGGUGGAUUGGCUAGUUGGCGGGGUAAAGGCCCACCAAGGCGACGAUCCGUAGGUGGCCGGCGAGGGAGAUUGGCCACCCAGGGAGGGAGACACGGCCGAACCACCUACGGGCGGCAGCAGUAGGGGAGGUUUGGAGAAGGACGGGAGUAUGACUGAGCAACGCCGCGUGAGUGAAGAAGGGUGUCGGUUCGUUAAAAUCUGUUGGUAGAGAAGAAAGAUGGUGAGAGUGUAAAGCCCCUCAAGUGACGGUAACUCCCAAGAAAGAGACGGCUAACUACGUG